rnacentral:rRNA from 1 species
UACGUAGGGGGCAAGCGUUGCUCGGAAUUACUGGGCGUAAAGGGUCCGUAGGCGGCUGGAUAAGUCGGCGGUAAAAUCGCUCCGCUUAACGGAGCAAAGCCCGCCGAGACUGUUCGGCUUGAGGGGCGGAGAGGCGAGUGGAAUUACCGGUGUAGCGGUGAAAUGCGUAGAUCUCGGUAGGAACACCGGAGGCGAAGGCGGCUCGCUGGACGCUCCCUGACGCUGAGGGACGAAAGCUGGGGGAGCAAACAGG